GUCCUAUGCUGGGAGGGGUGUUGCCAUGAUUAUGAAGGUGAUCUACCCACAGCGAAGCUUGUGAAUUUCAAUCCAGAUGUGCUGGUCCCUGAGAUUUCCACAAUCGUGGGAAAUUCAACUUUAUGAUUUGUGCAGACAGCAUCUGUGCUUAC
ensembl:snRNA U1 U1 spliceosomal RNA